AGUUCCAUUCAGCGAUGACCACAUUUCUUUGUUUUUUAGAUCCCAAGGCUUGCAUUUCUUUCUUUCCUCCUAUUUAUUAUCAGGGUUUACUUUAUUCGUUCAUAGAAAGGACCCUUAGAAAGGUAGACUUCUGGACAACACUUAUUUUGAACAGCCCGGGACCACCAUGAUUGCUUCUGCUGAGAAAGCUUAACUUUGAGUUGAUGGACAGUAAGAUCUUCUUUGAAGGCGUAUUGGAAGGACGUUGAGUGUGUAAAUGCUGGAGGAUGGUCUGUGUUCUCUGUGUAGCCGCUGGACUGGGGUCUGCUCUCUGUGCAGGACGGGGGUCUAUGCUUUGCACGCAUCUGCAGGAGACGCAGCAUGCGCUUUAUGUAGUAGUCGGUAAGAUGUGACCUUGUCAGCAGGCAGACUGAGAGGGCCGCCGGUUCCCUGCCCCGCCGCUCCGUCAAUGACAUCAUGUUAGUUCCUUUCCUGGAAAUGAUCUCUAUAGAGAGGCCUUUCAGCCCUAUGAAAAAAAAAAACGAAUACCUUUCGCAAAGCCUGAAUCUCAUCACUCCUAGGCCUGCACUUUCUGCACACACCAGCUGCGUAUACAAUGUGAUUAGUCAAAUGAAAAA